rnacentral:rRNA from 1 species
CUUACGGGGUUGCCAGCAGGCGCGAAACCUUUACACUGCACGACAGUGCGAUAGGGGGAUCCCAAGUGCACAGGCAUAGCGCCUGUGCUUUUCGGCACCCUAAGGCGGUGCCAGAAUAAGGGCUGGGCAAGACCGGUGCCAGCCGCCGCGGUAAUACCGGCAGCCCAAGUGAUGGCCGAUCUUAUUGGGCCUAAAGCGUCCGUAGCUGGCCACGCAAGUCCAUCGGGAAAUCCACCUGCCCAACAGGCUGGGCGCCCGGUAGAAACUGCGUGGCUUGGGACCGGAAGGCGCGACGGGUACGUCCGGGGUAGGAGUGAAAUCCCGUAAUCCUGGACGGACCGCCGAUGGCGAAAGCACGUCGCGAGAACGGAUCCGACAGUGAGGGACGAAAGCCAGGGUCUCGAACCGGAUUAGAUACCCGGGUAGUCCUGGCCGUAAACAAUGUCUGCUAGGUGUGGCUCCCACUACGACUGGGUGCUGUGCCGUAGGGAAGCCGCUAAGCAGACCGCCUGGGAAGUACGUCCGCAAGGAUGAAACUUUGGGAAUUGACG